GAACUCUCAUUUGCUUCCUGGGAGUGGGAUCCCAACCAGGGCAUUGCACAGCUAACGUGUAAUGGGACAUCUCUUCAAGUAGUGUCAUUAUUCCUGUCAUCAGUGGAGCUACAUGACAAUCCACAGAAGACUCUGAGAACAGUCACCUGGUGUCCCCUGAUGUCGAUGGCGGAGGAUUUGUCCGUGACCCACAAGCUUUCACUGUCACAAACGGAGUAUUCCCCCCGGUGGCCCCUGUGCUCUGCAUACCUCUUCCGCCGGGAGGUUCUGUUCACCACCACGGAAUUCCCGAUGUAAUCCUCCAUGAGGUACAGGGGCGGCGGCUCCAGCGGCGUGUUGUCACUCAGAAGGACUCGGGGAGAAUUGUAGCGUCUCUGCUGCCUCAAGAGAUCUAAAGCUUGUUUUUUAAAAUGUCUGCCUGAAUGAGUUUAAUAAUAAGAGAAUUUAUCGAAUCUUCUGGCAAACUCCUUUGAUCCAUGUUGGAAGACUGGAUGCCACGAAGGUGAAAAUCUUUCUGCAAAAGAGAGGAGCUGACCUGCCUGAGGUGCACAGGAGGCCUGUGGCGUGACAGGGCUGGACUGGAAGAAGUCAAUGCAAACAGAGGCCAGAGAAGCUUCUAGGUUUGGACCUGCUGGUUCCUGCAGCAGCGCACUUCAUUGAGUAGUACCAAAAAUGAAUUUUGUUUUGUGUUGUGAUUUGCAGUUAGGUUCUUUGGUUUCCUAAAAAAUCAAAUUGCAGCCAAAACUUCCGCAGCAGUUUGGAUGUUCUUAAAUUGUUACGCUGUGUGGAUUGCCUGAUACCGAUGGCUCCAGAAUUCUCUCCUGUGGAAACCCAGGGCACCGGGAAUAUUUCUCUGUCUGCUCUGGGGUGCCAGGGGAGCACUGACUUUGACCCUCAUUCAUGGAGAAAGUUUCCUAGACUUCAAGACAGACUAGAAUCCACAAAAGUGUGAAAUAGAUUAUAUAAAAGAUUAUAGUGUAGGUGUAUCACUUGGUGAGAAAUUUAGGUUUUGGGAUUUUUAAUAUGUUGUGGAUGGAAGCAAGAUGGAGGGCACAGGCUCUCAUCCUGGGUUUCUUCUUCAUGCUUCUUCCUUCUUCUUCAUGGGAUUGGGUGGCAUUUUGUAAGUGUGAAGAAAAGUCUUUGGGAUCAGUUAUUGGGUUAAAAAGGAAAAUAAUCUAGGUGUCAGUUCUUAAUUGGAUAGUUUAGUUUUAAAUGACCUUGUAACAAGAGAUUGUUGGCCAUUUUGUACCUUCUAAUGAAAAGCUACCGAACUCACAGUAAUGAGACUGUUGUACUAAUAAGAAAUAAUAAACACCUGAGUCCAAACAUAAA